GACGAACGCUGGCGGCGUGCUUAACACAUGCAAGUCGAACGGAAAGGCCAUGCUUUUGUGGGGUGCUCGAGUGGCGAACGGGUGAGUAACACGUGAGUAUCCUGCCCUUGACUUUGGGAUAACUUCAGGAAACUGGGGCUAAUACCGGAUAGGAGCUCCUGCUGCAUGGUGGGGGAUGGAAAGUUGCGGCGGUGGGGGAUGGACUCGCGGCUUAUGAGCUGGUUGGUGGGGUAGUGGCUUACCAAGGGUUCGACGGGUAGCCGACAUGGGAGGUUGACCAGCCACAAUGGGACUACGAGAGGCCGCAGACGCCUACGGGAGGCAGCGGGGGGGAAUAUUGCACAACGGGCGGACGCCUGAUGCAGCAACGCCGCGUGCGGGAUGACCGCCUUCGGGUUGUAAACCGCUUUCGCAUGUACCGAACCGUGAGUGACGGUAAUGGGUAAAGAAGCACCGGCUAACUACGUG
rnacentral:rRNA from 1 species